CAGCACCUCAAGUGGUCAGGAUGAUUAUUGGGCCUAAAGCAUCCGGAGCCGGCUCUGUAAGUUUUCGGUUAAAUCUGUAUGCUCAACAUACAGGCUGCCGGGAAUACUGCAGAGCUAGGGAGUGGGAGAGGUAGACGGUACUCGGUAGGAAGGGGUAAAAUCCUUUGAUCUAUUGAUGACCACCUGUGGCGAAGGCGGUCUACCAGAACACGUCCGACGGUGAGGGAUGAAAGCUGGGGGAGCAAACCGGAUUAGAUACCCGAGUAGUCC
rnacentral:rRNA from 1 species